AUCCCUCACUGCUAAGCUAUCCCUCACUACUAAGCUAUCUCUCACUGCUAAGCUAUCCCUCGCUGCUAAGCUAUCCCUCGCUGCUAAGCUAUCCCUCACUACUAAGCUAUCUAUCACUGCUAAUCUAUCGCUGCCAACCUAUCUAUCGCUGCCAAUUUAUCUACCACUGCCAAUCUAUCUAUUGCUGCUAAUCUAUUGCUGCUGCCAAUCUAUCUAUCGCUGCUAAUCUAUUGCUGCUGCUAAUCUAUCUAUCGCUGCUAAUCUAUCGCUGCUAAUCUAUCGCUGCUAAUCUAUCGCUGCUAAUCUAUCGCUGCUAAUCUACCGCGGCGAAUCUAUCUAUCACUAUCAUUACUAGUUCAAAAUAGAACUAGAGCAUAAAUACACUAAACUUCUUUUGAUAGGUAAUGAUUUUUGGUAACACUCAUAGCAUUAUAUCAUCUAUAUAGAGUAAAUCAUGGUCCCAUUUGGUCCCAUUUUAACAAAAUGGGACCAAAUGGGACCAGAAUCAGUAAUUUAUAAGAAGAACAUGACCUGGGACU
rnacentral:sRNA from 1 species